UGAUCAGGGAGGUGUGUGUCGGGAGGCGCCAGGAGAGGCUGAGUUCGGCUGGUUCUCUGGAGUUCACCUGUGCCACAGGGGCGAUGGGGAGCUUGCAGGUGAUGAGGAAGCGGUUGGCAUGUGAAAGGUCUGAUGGUGUGGGCCGGGCGUGAUACCUGCAGGAGUCGUGCAGAGGGGCCAGGAUGGGCACACGUGGGCUGCCCUGGGCUGUGCAAGGCAGUGGGGCAGACGCUUUGCUGCUGGACCGGUUCGGAGCUGAUGGUCCAUGAGCUUGAUAGUGCUAAAAGACAAGGGCUCUUGCAGUGAAUGUGAAGAAUAUCACACAUCACAGUCUACACAUCUACACUGUUUGACAAUCAAUGGACACAUAGAUCAGAGAUGGACUUCAUGGAGAUCCUUUUAACAUGGACAUCCUUUUAACACAUCUAUCAUAUAGAUACAGCUAAUUGUCAUCAAGGUCCUGAGUCAUAUAGAACCGUAUGACCCAGAGAGCAAGGGCUGGUGGACCAUUGCCGGCCCACUGGGGCAGAUCUGUUGGUCUGCUGACAUUUUGCUCAGUGGUUUUCCUGCGAUCCACUGAUGGGUUGCUGACAAACGCCCCACCGCCAAUUAUGGUCCAAUUUCUUUUUUUAUUCAUUCAGUUUUUUCUCUUAAUAUUCACAAGUUAAAAUAAAGGUGAUGAUGGCCCAACAGUGGCUCAGAAGUGGUACACCUCCGGCGGCUAGCCACUGAGCAUCCAAUAUCUGCAACUCUGAUUUUGCUAUUUGGGUGUGUUGUAGAUGUUUAGAUAGGUUCUUUAUUGUGUACAAACAAACUAUUAAAGAU